GGGCUGGGGGGGUUUGUUGGGCUGGGAGAAGGCUCAAGGAGGCCUCAUUGCGCUAAAUAAAAUUAGCUUAAAGGGAGUCGUGGCGGGGGGGGGGGCGGGGGGCUCUUUUCCCGUCUGCCAAAUGAAGGGAAACGGCCUCAAGUUGCGCCAGGGGAAGUUUAGGAUGGAUAUUAGGAGAAAUUUCGUUACGGAAAGGGGCGUGAGGCAUUGGAACGGGGCCGUGGUGGUGUCACCAUCCCUGGAGGGCUCCAAGAAAUGUGGAGAUGUAGCACCCCGUAGCGAGGCUUGGUGGCGGACUUCAGUGCGAGGUUAUGGGUCGGACCAGGUGGUUUAGGAGGUCUUUUCCAGCCUGAACGAUUGUACGGUUCUAUGCAGAAACCCUAAAUAACGUUCCCACCAUGUGGCGCUGCGACCCCUGUCCCCGGGGUUGAACCCGGGCACCUGAUGACAAAACCCUAAAUCACGUCCCCUCCAUGUGGCGCUGGAAGCCUUCACCCCGGUCUGGAGCCUGGCUGCUUGGGGAAGAAACCCCAAAUAAUGUUCCCACCGUGCGACCCCCCUGAUGAAACCCCAAAAUAAUGGCCCCACCGUGUGGCACUCACCACUUUACAUGGAGGAGGAGCUGCUGCUCCAAGCUGCAGAGCAGAAAGGAAGAAAAAAAAAAAACCAAAACAUCCUGCCCCCAAAAUGCUGCCUCUGCAGAGGUGAAAGUUUGGACUGGGGGGAACUACGGUGGGAGAGGUUUUGGUGACACGGGGGGGCCGAGCCUGCAGGAGCUGCCGGUAGGUGGCAGUGGGACCGCGCGGGGCAGGGACUGGGACAAGGAUUGGGAUGGGGAUGGGAUGGGGAUGGGGCUAGGGAUGGGGAUGGGAUGGGAU
rnacentral:lncRNA from 1 species